rnacentral:rRNA from 1 species
CAGUAGCCGCGGGAACACGAAGGGGGCUAGCGUUGCUCGGAAUGACUGGGCGUAAAGGGCGCGUAGGCGGCGAUCCAAGUCAGGCGUGAAAUUCCUGGGCUCAACCUGGGGGCUGCGCUUGAUACUUGGUUGCUUGAGUGGGGAAGAGGGUCGUGGAAUUCCCAGUGUAGAGGUGAAAUUCGUAGAUAUUGGGAAGAACACCGGUGGCGAAGGCGGCGACCUGGUCCUUGACUGACGCUGAGGCGCGAAAGCGUGGGGAGCAAACAGGAUUAGAUACCCCCGUAGUCCCUGUCUCUUAUAC